rnacentral:rRNA from 1 species
UACUAUGUUACGACUUAUCUCAUCUUAAUAACGAGAGUGACGGGCGAUGUGUGCACAUUCUAGAGCUAAUAUCACAAAAAUAUUCUUAUUAUUAAUUACUAUUAAAUCCUCCUUCAUGAAAUAUUUCAUAUCACAAUUCAUAUAUCUUACAGAUAAUGUAAUCCAUUACCACUCAAUCAUCAACUGCACCUUGACCUGAAAUAAAAUCAAAUUUAAUUUAAAGAAAAUAACCCUAAAAAGAUCUUCAAAUAAACGGCGAUAUACAUAUUAAAUAUUACUGAGUAAGGUUCAACGUGGAUUAUCGAUAACGGAACAGAUUCCUCUAACUAGACUAAAAUACCGCCAAAUUCUUUAAGUUUCAAGACCAUAUCUAAUACUACUCAAAUUUAAUUCUUUAAAUCCAAAAUAAUAGGGUAUCUAAUCCUAGUUU